rnacentral:rRNA from 1 species
GAUGAACGCUGGCGGCGUGCCUAAUACAUGCAAGUCGAGCGAACAGACGAGGAGCUUGCUCCUCUGACGUUAGCGGCGGACGGGUGAGUAACACGUGGAUAACCUACCUAUAAGACUGGGAUAACUUCGGGAAACCGGAGCUAAUACCGGAUAAUAUAUUGAACCGCAUGGUUCAAUAGUGAAAGACGGUUUUGCUGUCACUUAUAGAUGGAUCCGCGCCGCAUUAGCUAGUUGGUAAGGUAACGGCUUACCAAGGCGACGAUGCGUAGCCGACCUGAGCGGGUGAUCGGCCACACUGGAACUGAGACACGGUCCAGACUCCUACGGGAAGCAGCAGUAGGGAAUCUUCCGCAAUGGGCGAAAGCCUGACGGAGCAAAGCCGCGUGAGGGAUGAAGGUCUUCGGAUCGUAAAACUCUGUUAUUAGGGAAGAACAAAUGUGUAAGUAACUAUGCACGUCUUGACGGUACCUAAUCAGAAAGCCACGGCUAACUACGUG